AUCAACCAUAGAAGCAAUGACCAACCUCUUACAAAUCGGGCGCCUUGAGAGGUUGAGAGCUGGCGGCGCAACCGGCUAUGGCAGGC
rnacentral:ncRNA from 2 species